AGCCCACUUUGGAAAAAUGCUCCAAGAGAAUUAAAUGGUCAAAUUUCUCACUUUAUUCUCACUUUUUGUCUUUAAUAGAUGGAGGGACUAAGAACGUUCUGGUGCGUCAGAACUCCACCCAGCUCCACCCAUCUCAUGACAGCAAUGAUUGCACCAAUACUGAACUCUCCAGGGUGAUCAGCCCUGAAGGAACUGUGAUCAGAUACUUCAGAGAUGGGUCGAGCCAGAUCCUUUUUGCAGAUGGCACUGUAAGCAACUGUGGAGAACACAUUCUGCAUUCAGCUCAAGACCCAUUCACUAGAGAGAAUGGGUGUUUGAGGGAGCAGCACAUGGAUGGCAGAGAAUCGAAAGAAAGAAAAGGCUCCCAAAAUAAUACACUUAUAUCAGGAAAGUGCACCUUUGAGAGUGGCACAGGAAGUGAGGUAGAUGAACUGAAGAAAAAGAAUGACCAAAGUCCAGCACAGCUGCGUCGCUCCUGGACCACAACGACACCAUCUGGCCUCCAGCUCCACAGCGCAGGAGACACAUCAGGGGACAUUCAACAUAUCCUAACCUACACAUCAACCGACCCCUUCAGCCAAACAGUAAGCAACCAAUGUUGUACAUGACUAAUGGACUAAUUGGUUUACUGAACCAAAGCCUUACUUGAAAAAGAACAUUUGUAGCAGAUAUUACAACUAAAGCAUGUUUUGUCAAGCUGAUAGAGUACAUCAUCUUCAUCAACUUCCUCAAGAAUUCAAAACUGUAACGGUACCUG
rnacentral:lncRNA from 1 species